rnacentral:rRNA from 1 species
AAUGAACGCUGGCGGCAUGCCUAACACAUGCAAGUCGAACGAAGGCUUCGGCCUUAGUGGCGCACGGGUGCGUAACGCGUGGGAAUCUGCCCUUGGGUUCGGAAUAACAGUUAGAAAUGACUGCUAAUACCGGAUGAUGUCGUAAGACCAAAGAUUUAUCGCCCAAGGAUGAGCCCGCGUAGGAUUAGCUAGUUGGUGGGGUAAAGGCCUGCCAAGGCGACGAUCCUUAGCUGGUCUGAGAGGAUGAUCAGCCACACUGGGACUGAGACACGGCCCAGACUCCUACGGGAGGCAGCAGUGGGGAAUAUUGGACAAUGGGCGAAAGCCUGAUCCAGCAAUGCCGCGUGAGUGAUGAAGGCCUUAGGGUUGUAAAGCUCUUUUACCCGGGAUGAUAAUGACAGUACCGGGAGAAUAAGCUCCGGCUAACUUCGUG